rnacentral:lncRNA from 1 species
CUUCAGGGGCUCCCUGAUGGACUCAGUUCAUUUGAAAGAUCAGGAAGACGAACACGAAACCAAAGUUCCUAAAAACAAAACACAGAGGAGAAGUGUUCAGUGGGCGGGACACAGUGAUCAGUGCUGAGUGUGUAUAUGAGUGUGUGCACUGCUGUGUUGUGCAGACUGGUUGGAACUGUGGUUACAUACAGAAGGGCUUCAUGUCAGCUGCUGAAAAGAGAGAAGAUGAUCCUGCUGCUCCUCAUCCUCACCUCCUCAGCAGCAGCACUUGAAGUGAAGGAGACACAGAGCUCCUAUCAGGCAGAGGAGAACCACAACAUCACACUGGAGUGGACGUUCACCACAGACACUCAGACUAAGACUGAGGACAUUUAUGUCUACUGUCAACAUUUAACCAAAAAAGAAUCAGUCCUGUAUCUGGUCCAUGCUGGUGUUGAGCUCUCAGAGUCUGUGGAUGAAGGUUUUUCAGGAAGAGUCCAGAGUGACACAGACGCCCUCAGAGAAGGACGAAUCAGACUUCAUCUGUCCAGACUCAGGACUGAAGACUCUGGUCUGUAUGUGUGUGAUGUGAGGACAGCUUCUGGUUCUGGUUCUUCCAGCUGUGAGCUCACAGUCUCUGCAGCUGCUGCUCAGACACACACUGACAGACCAGCUCUGAGUCCAGCUCUGAGUCCACCUCUGAGUCCAGCUCUGAGUCCACCAGCAGACACAGGAGGAUUGACAGUAUCCCAAUUCUUUGGAGUGAUAGCCGCAUCACAAGCACCUCUUCUCUGUGUGUUUUCAUUUAAUUAUUUUUUUAAUAACAGAAUCAAAUUCAAUCAGACGUUCUGAAGAAACCAUCAGUUCUAAAAAGUCUCAGCUGAAACUGAAUGUUGUGGAUUGUCCUGUUUAUUCUGUUCCCUCAUCAUUUGUUAUGUAUUUUCUGUUAUUGGUCUUCCUCCUCCUCUGAUCCCUCUUUCCUCCCUCUUGUCCUCAGUGUUGCUGUGUCCCCCUUGUCUUAUUCUGUAGUCCUGUCUGCCCUGUAUGUCUCCCUGCCAGUUUUUACUUCCUCCCAGUUCCCUUCUCCUGAUUACCAGCUCUUCCCUAUUUGUGUUCACCUGUGUUGUCUCUCCUCUAUUGAAGCCCUGCACUUCCCCUUUGUCGGUUCUUCCCUUGUGAACCUCAUGUGAGUCCUGUGUGAGUCCUUUCUUUUGUGUUUAUUUGUACUUUUGUCUCGUGCUCUUUUGAUUGCCACUGUUUACAGUAGCCCUCCUUUGUUCUCCCGCUCCUCUGGUC